AGGAAGGAAGGAAGGAAGGAAGGAAGGAAGGAAGGAAGGAAGGAAGGAAGGAAGGAAGGAAGGAAGGAAGGAAGGAAGGAAGGAAGAGAAAGGGGGAGGGGGGGUGCCUACCUCACAAAGUAGUCUUAAGGUUCAGACUAGACGAGGUCCAUAAAAUACCUUUGCCAACUUUUAGCCUCUAUGAAUGGUUACUAAGUAACCUCUUGGUGAUGUUUCUGCAAGGUUACAGAGGGAGGCGGAACUUCCCAUCUCCCUGGGAGCUAAUCCCCAGGCUCAAGAGGAUAUUUAGUAUCUCUCAGUGGGAGCCUGGUCUAGAAUGCUUAACCUUGAACGUGGCUCCUCCUCGGGGCAAAAGAGGAAAGCUUGUGUUUCUGGGAAUGAGGUGGUAAAAGGGCAAUGGCUGGAGAGAUAAGACUUGGCCAGGAUCCGGAAGAGACGGGAGAAAAGAAAUCACGGGGCUGGCGUGAGCGUCUGUGUCCAAAGCGUGAAGCGGCUCUCCUUCCCUCGCUGCGGAGGGUCUAGGAGGUGGGCGCAUUUGUCGAGAACUCCACACCUUAAUUACUUGAAUGUGGAGUCAGAAAUUUGGAGCUUUUCGGCCUUUUCUAAUAGCAAGUUGUUAAGGCUUUUUCUAUUGCAGAGAAAUAUGUUCCUCAUUAGCUUUAGAGGCUGUGGAGGCUCACAAAGUGGGUCCUCUAUUCCAUUUACUUAGCAGGAAAAGUUUAUUUGAAUGAUUAGACAAAUUUCUUUCCUGAAGACCUUUGCUCCGGUAGGAACACAAGUUAGCUUGGAGUGACUUGGAAGGUGAUGGAUGUAUGUGAGGGGUGCAAGUGUGUCCCACUGGAAGCCUGCCAGCCCUGGCAGCAGAGGACCUGGGUUCUAAACUGCCUCCUGAAGCUCUGUGGUCUUAGGCAAGUCAUGUAACUGCCUUGAUCUGCAGUGUCUAAAUUAUCUACAAAAUGAGAGGGUUAGACUAGAUCUAGGCUUCUUUGGUUCUUUCCAGCCUAAAGUCUGUAGUCCUCCGGGCAAAUUUUGAGACCUCUAACUAUGUAGAGGUAGACCAUUCUAGCCCAAAUAAUAUGUUUUUGCAAUGCUAAAAGCUCUGAGAAAACCUUGGCAGUCUUGCUACAUGCUUGUAGAAAAGAGGUACAGCUAGGUCACAGAGUGAAUAGAGCACCAGAUUAGGAGGCAGAAAGACCUGAGUUCAAAUCUAACCUGUAGAGAGCUUAGCACAGUUCUUGGCACUAGGGAGUGCUAUAUAAUUGUUAGAUUGUAUUUUUACCUAUAAAAAUAAAUUGAAAAUACAUUAGGGAUUGCACAUGUAAAAUCUACAUUUCAGGGAGCAGAGAGGGUGGGGAGGAGGGAAAGAAUUAAAAACUCAUUUUUUUAAUGAAUGUUAAAAUGUUUUUACAUCUAAUUUUUGGGGGGAAGAAAAUGUUUAAACAAAUAAAAAGAAAUGACUUAGGUAUUCCCUGGGUAAUACUGUGAUGCUUCACUGUAGGGUUCAGGUAGUCUAGUAGAAGCCAUCCUACUGAAAAGACUUCUUCACAGGUACUUCAAAUGGCCCUGAAGUGAACCAUUUAGCCAAGGUCUGAGGACUGGCCUGGGUAGACCUAGAGAAGAUGACUGUGAAGCUGGCCAAGGGAAGUGAUCCCUGUGGAAAAGGGGCUACCUUUCUUGCUACCGCCAACACCAACUGCUGACCAACUAUCACUGAUGCCCAAGGAGUGGCAGCAUCUCCCUCCAGCCCCCCACCCCAAGACCAUCUGUCCCACUUCCAGCCCGUCACCCUGGAAAGCAAUUCCCAUAAAGAUGCGACCUGGCAACUGUUUUGUGGGUACUGACGUCCCAGGUAUCAAAGAGACCCCCAAAAGAAAGUCCUCACCACCAAAGCUCUUGUUGCUGUCAUAUGGGGCAGCAUCAGAAACCAAUAGGACUUCAUCAAUGGGAAUGACACUAAAGAAGAAAGCUGACUCUCUGCUUUGCCAAUGGACCCUAAGGACCAAGGGGGCCUUUCCGACAUGUUGUUGAAGCCAUCUCUGUGUAUCUCUCCUAUUGGCAUGUGAGCUACCUGAGAGCAAGGGUUUUCCAUUUCUCUUUGUAUCUUCAGCAUAAUAAGUGCCAAUAAAAGCUUUUUCAUUCACUCA